rnacentral:lncRNA from 1 species
AAUACAUCAAAGACCCCCCAAACCCUCAGCCCCGUUUCAUUCACCCAAACACUCAAUGCCAUCGUCUCUCCCAAGUCUCUCUUCAGAGACCCCAGACAGCCUUCGAAACCCUAGCGCUGCCCUGAAAACCCCCCACUCUAAGCCGGAAAAAUCGGCUCCAAUGGCCACCAAAGUCACACCCCAAAACCAACUUGACCCCCUCACCCCAAAUCCGGGCCCAUUUUCCCUCGAAUCCUAACCGAUGUCUUCAAAUCUUCAAUCGAAGAUCGGUCCAAAACCCUAGUCUAACUAAUCGACCCCAAAUCAACACCCCUUGACCACUACACCUCCCUCAUCCCUAAUCUAAGGCUAUUUUUGUUCAAAUCAAGCUGAAAAUUCUCGAAUCUUAAUUCAAAUGAAUGAACCCUAAGAAAAAUUCAAACCCCAGAAUCUAUGCGAGUUUGGAGAAUUGAAUUCGUAAUCAACCUUAAUCGUGUGUUCUCAAUCGAGAACACUCGAUAAAAGUUCAUUUCAACUUCAAAUGAGAGAAUCAAGGUUUUCAAGUUCAAGACAGGCUUGGGUUGGGUUUGAGGUAUUUACACUAUUCUUUUCCUUCUCAUUUUUUUCAAUUUUUCUUCUGCUUCCUUGUGUUUUAUCUUUUAGUAUUAGCCUUUGCUUCGUCUUCUCUGCUGUGCCUUUAUUUUAAUACCGAAUUUCAUGAGUCUAGAAUUAGGUUUCUCUAUUUGUUUCCUGUCCGUUAACGUGCUCUAAUUGCCUAAUGUUUCUCUACUUGUUUUCUAUUUGUUUGUUGUUCGUUAAUGUUUUCUGCUCCAAUGUCUGUUUGAUUGGUUUAUGAUAGAUUUUAUGGUAUUGUUAGUAUUAUUGGCCAGAAACGUCCAGUUAUCUUUUGUGAAGAUAAAGUUAGAAAUCUGUUGUCUUCAAGUUUGUAUAGACUUAUGUACCUCAGUAUUAGGUCUAUUGGAUUUGUUUUAAGAGCUAUUUUUGCCAUGUCUGUUACUCCUUAAUGAGCUUGUAGAUUAACUGAACAACACAACGGUAGGACAGUGAAUUCAGGGACUUAGGGGUAAUAUAGGAAGUCUAGCUUGAGGGAAUCUCACUGAUCAAUUAAGAAAUGAAAAGAGACAAGUUAGUGGAAAGGAUAGCUUUUAGAACACCUUUACUAAUUGAAAAUCAGAAACAGUAGGUUAAUAAUGAAAGGUUAAAAGGGUAUACAUAGUAAAGGAAUAUACAAGUUGGAAAGUAGAUAACAUGGGGGGUAAUGAUUAAUAAGCUAAAGGGGUACACAUGGGAGGGAAUAUACAAGCUGUAAAGAAAAAGUGUUUAAAAGGAAAAAGGAGCAACACUUGUUCUUUAAAUAGAGGAGGAGAACAUUCUGAUAAGGGGCUUAAGCUUGAACAUCUGAAACACAAUAAGAAUUCAUGGAGGGGAGAGAGCUUUUGAAAUAUCAGCUCUUGAAAACCACUAGAAUCAGUUCUUUUUAAUCAGUAUGAGAGAGCAUUUAUGAGGACUUAAGAGGAAUCAGUCUUUCUCAGUGUUAGAGAAAUAGAGAGAUAAGGCAUUCAGUUCCCUUUUGAAAGGCAAGACUAAUUCUUGAGAGUUUGGCCAGUCUUUGAGAGCUUAAGCACACAAACAUAGCCUUGAAAGCUUGGGAACACUUCUAAUAAAAAUACUAAGAGAGAGUUUAAGGGAUUACUAUUUGAUUGCCCGAGGUCAUUUUCAGAUAAUGUGCUUAAUUCAAAUCCCUUAGUUCAAUUCCUGGUGAUUAAGGUCCAGAGUUGUUUCUGGUCAAUUUUCAAGUGGCUUUUGGUGUCAGUCAAUACAUCUUGAGACCAGUUUGGGUGUCAUGUAGUUGUGGGGUGUUUCUGAGGAUCAUUUCUGAGGUCAUUUGAGCUUAUUUGAGCUGUUUGAGUUUGAGUAUUUUGGUUUUGUCUGGUUUCAAAUUCUCCUGGGUUUGCUGCAUUCGUUAUUGUACUGUUACUGAUUGCUGUCUGUUGUUGUUGCUCGAUAUUUGUUUCAGCUGAUCUCUCCCUUCUUUUUAUGUUCUAUUCCAGGUAUCUUCUGGAACCCUAGGGGACAUGUGAAUGUAAAUCUGCACUUUGAAUGUGACACAUUUGGGAUACAAGUUGUUUUCCAAGUUUAUUUCUACUAUUUCGUCCAUUUCAAAUAUUAUCAAGUAUGUAAUCCAAUAUUAUGUAUGUUUAGUCUAGCCUUUUCUUAUGUUGCUGAAUAUUGUAUAGUAAAUCUAUGGUUACUUGUUGGUUUGAUUCUGAGAGAGUGAGUAUGAGAUUUGGAUUCAAAUGAAUUGAAGGUAUCAUCAUAUAGGUUCAAGGUUACUGAAAUGGUUAUUUGAACAAUGUUAGCCUAAUGUCAAUUCUUAAACACUGAUGUAUUUUCAACAGUUGUAAAAAAAAGAGUUCAAAAAUGGCUUUGUAUUACACAUGGUUAAUUCCAAUAGUAAUAUUCACUAAUAGAAAAAUGAAUAAGACAAUCUCCCUUUGUUACAAGUGUGGAGCCC